AAGACUAUAGACCUGCGGAGUACCUGCGGAGGGAUCAUUACCGAGUUAGGGUUCCUCUCACGGGCCCGACCUCCCAACCCUGUGUCUAUCACACCUUGUCGUUGCUUCGGCGGACCGGUUUGACUCCGGUCGCGACCGCCGGGGGUGCUUCACCCCGGGAGAGCGUCCGCCGAUGGCCCAACCACAAAACUUCUUUGUACCAAAACCGGUCGUCUAAAUCAAACUUGAUCAUAGUCAAAA
rnacentral:misc_RNA from 1 species